rnacentral:lncRNA from 1 species
UGCGUGCUGCUCAUCUUGCUUCUCAGCUCCUCAAAGACUUUCAUGCUGUCCGCGUCGAAGCCUCCGGCAAACUGCGCAAUGGCGAACCGUAAGCUCUCGAUUUGAAAUUUCCAUUUGCCUGUAAAUACUCAUAUUGUUGAUAAGAAGUACAUACCUGAUGAACUCGGAAAGCGAAUCUGACGCCCUGGAGAAGCAGGAACUCCCUGUUGGGCUCUUUCUCGGUGCCCUGCAGCGCGUCGAGCUCCGAGGUGACCCUCUCCAUGUACUUCUUUGCAAGCUGAACGGAUGCCAGUUUGAUCUGCAACCAACAUAUGAAGUUAAACUUUGAUUCAAAUCUUAUUGCAUAUUCCGAUUCAAAACUUAUACAUCUUUAUAAUGAAUUAGUAAUUGUAUGCUCUUUCAAGUAAGUAAGGCUGCCAGCAUAAGUAGUCUAGAGAUGCACACCUUGCCAACUUUUCCUGAAUCAGAUAGCCAAUCGACUGGUAUUCCAUACUCCUUGUACCGUGCGGUGGUCAUGUCUCUUGUACGAAGAAGUGCGUAAACACUCUGCUCCACUCUGUCAGAAGUAUGACACUAAUUAGUUCACUGAAAUUAUGAUUCUUAGGGUAAACCAAUACUUAUCACAAACAUCUUGGAAUUCGCAAAAUAUUGCCAAUUAUUUUCUGAAAAAUUAUUACCGAUUUACUCUGAAGAACUAUGCUAUUUGGGAACAUACUAGUUCAGAGAAGGCACUUACUUCUCAAGCAACGAAUACAUCCUCUUUAGAGCUUCUUCACAUGGAAGUUUUGGAUCGUCGACAAAGGAUGUGGCCUUGUUCUCUAGUUUCACCAGGUCCUGAUACUCAAAGGCGGCCUCUCUUAAUGCAUCAGUUUUGCUCUCUGGCCAAUCGAAAUGCUUUAGCACUGCUCUCUCAUCAACCUAAAAGAAAGGUUAAUUGAUCUUUUUAGUAGUUGAUCAUGUGCAGCCUAAGUACAAUAUCUAACAUGGAUAAAUUAAUGGGGUCUUACCAAGAAUGACAACUCCUCAUCCAGCCAGUGUACAAAUGCAACGACAUCAUCGAUAUUCGCGAAUCUUGCUGCUCGGACCUCACUCGCCAGGGACUCAACAAAUUCUCCUUGUGUCUCCACAUCAGCUUUGACCUGAAACAUUCCAUGUUUUUGACAAUAUUCGUCAUAAUGAGCUGAUUAUAUUGAAGUUAUACCUACUGCCUACAAUGAUCUGCACUAAUGAUGGACGGCAUGGAUUUGGCAGGAUUUUUAUGCAAGGCGGGCCAUCUGAAGAUACUUACAGCUAAUAGGAAUGUUGAUCUGUUCUCAAUCUCUCCGAUCAUGUUGCUUCUGUUGUCAGAAACAUUCGAUGUUUUUGAUCCCAAAGAGGUGGUGUCCUUCUUGGCUUCACGUUUCAUGAGACUCUGAUAGAACUCCACGACCUCCGGAGCACGGUGCACCUUGUCACCACCAGCAAGGCUCUUGGAUAGAGAGCCGGGAGGCGGCGGUGGCGGCGGAGGGCCACCGGGUCUCCCUGGAGGUGGUGGUGGAGGAGGUGCACCUGGUGGGCGUGGCGGCAUCGGUGGUGCACCGCUCGCGGUACUGGUAGCUCCUGAAGCAGCAGCGGCCGAUGCCGUGGGUGGUGGACGGGGGACUCUUGGGGCCCUCUUCUCAAUUUGGGCAAGCUUCAACUGGGUGACAGCCAGGGGGUUGUUCGGGAUAUCACUAGAUUGCUCACCAGGUUCAGAAUUAACUGCAGGGGCCUUCUUCUCCUUUAUUUGAGCGAGUUUUGGGGGGAGUGCAGCUCUCGGGGAGGGAACCAGAACUGAACUAUAGCCACCACCAAACCUUUGUGCCCUGGCUUGCUCGGCCUUCUCUUUGAUCGCCUUCUCCCGUUCCGUCGCAAGCUUAUGCCGGUCUUUGUAAGCGGGAUACUUCUCAUCAGCAAAGCCUUCCACAUUCUUCGACAUCAACUGGAAUGAAGAUGCAACAUUUGCAUCAUCUGCGUCACCGGAUUCUUGGUCCCUUUUUCCAAAUGUUGUAAUGGACAUACCAUCUCCUGCAUUUCUGAUCAUGAGAGACUCCAGGGGCCCCUUUGGUUUCUGGCUCCUCUUCGGAGAGCUACUGGUCAGGGACCGCGAGGACGGGGAUGACAGAUAGCUGCCGUCAUCCUUGCUCCUUCCCCACUUCUUGAGUUUCUGCAUCAGGUUCGGCCUCUUGCUUAGGAAGCUGUAUCUGCUGGAAGAGCUGUCGAUCGAGGCGGUGUCGAAGUCUUCGCUUCUGGGGGAAGAAGGUGCGGAGGAGACACUGUCAAGGUCAGUGUCGCCCUGGCCUCGUUCAGACCCGAAUUCGAGCAUCAUCUGUUUGGCCCUCUCCUGCGACCUUGGGCUGAGCUUCGUGCUGAGGUCGCGGGCAGAGAUCUUCCCAGAUGGUGUCUGGUAGUUGCGGAGCUCGAAUCGCAGACAGGCGUUGACCCAGCGCAGGUACACCAGCUCUUCUACUUCACUGAAUCUGUUCAUUUGUAGGCCUUCCACUUGCUUUGUCAGGUCCUCGUUUGUAUGUCUCAGGUUGUUGAUCUCCUCUCUUGCAUGGGCAACUACAUCACUCUGCAUGAUGAAUUGAUGAUGGUAUGUCAUAUGUACAUUAUUGAGGAAGUAUGCCAUGAAAAAGUAUUAAAUACAAUCUGACACUUGGCUAAAAAUUAAUUACUAAGUAGCAUUCUUCAUUUGUGGAACUUCUGGAAUUGUGAUUUGGAUCUGAAAUACUAACUCUCAUUCUCUCAACAUAGAAAAGCACCUCAGCUGACUGUUUGUUCUACUGAACAGGGAAGAAAAUUGCAUUUAUCCUGAUAGGAGCAAACCGUUCAAUUUCUUGCCCAGAUAACAAUGUUAUGGCGAAAAUCAUGCUGUCAUGUUUAAGAGUAAAGUCAAAACUUGCGGUCCGUCUCAUGAGUCUUAUUGAUUGGUUUGUUUUUUUAGGAAAAAAGCAAUAUAAAAGAGAGUGCAUAUCAUUAGGUCCUACCUUUUACAAGUGGAAACAAAAGCAAAAUCCUAAUUUUGAACUAGAGACAAACUAAGAGGAUAGGCCUGUACACUACACGGAUAGAGACAAACCCAACAAACGUAGCAGAACCACUGCUAGCCUGCCACAGAAACUUGGACCGUCUAGGACCAUGCAAAUGAUUAGGCUAAAAAAAACUGCUGCUGAAUAUUCUUGUGUCAUGUACUAAAAUGCAAAAGGCUUUACAAACUUUGCAGAGUAAUAGUAACAGAGUAGUGCUAUACCUCUGUUAUUUUUCCUUGUGCUGCAUCCAGCUUCACCAUGAGAUCCCUCUUCUCAUACAGCAGCUCCUUGUUCUUCCUCCUCAGCUCAAGCACCUCCACCUCCAGGUUCUUGAGCUUCUUGAGCUUCUGUUCGAUCUCGGCGUCCUUCUUGGCCACCUCCUCCUCCUUGGCCCUGAGCCCCAUCACCUGUUGCUUCAGCAGCAUCAGCUGGCCUUUUGUCUGGUUGGCCUCCAUCUGUAUCUGCCGCUGCAGCUCCUUGAUCCUGCUCCUGGACGCGUCGAGCUCCUUCUUGGCGGCCGCGCCGCGGGCCACGUCCUCCUGCAGCUUCUUCCUCUCGGCCUGCAGCGAGCUGAUGGUGAGGUUGAGCAUGUCGACCUCCACCGUCUUGAUCUUGAGCUGCUUCUGCAGCUCGGAGACGUCGGUCUCCUGCUCCUUGAGGCCGUAGUACUCGAGCAGCUCGCCCUCGAGCUUCACCUCCCGCUCCUCCAGCUCCCUCACCAGGCCACGCAGCCGCUCCAUCUCGGCGGCGUUGUUGGCCAUGUGCGCGUUGUACCGGGACCGCUCCUUGACGUCGUACCUGUCACCCGGUAUCGGGAUGUCGACCUCCCCGCCCAGGAGGCUCUCGAUCUCCGAGAACAUGUCGUCCUCAUCGUCGUCGUCCACCGACGGGGCCGAGUUGAUUAUGCCGCUGAUCGUCUUAACCUCUUCCUCCUCGUCUUCUUUCUCCCCCUGAAAUAAUCAGCAGAAGCGAUGAACAAGACGCAGAACCAAUAGUUCUUUGCUGUAAAUUGCGGGCAGUGGAUGCGUGUACAUACAUGUCCAGUAUGCCGAGCCUUCUCCUUCCUCUUGCCCGCUUGGCCAUUGUCUGAAAGAGGCCAGGCAUAAGCUUGAGCGAGAAAUUCAGAUGGACAGAAGGAACCAUUGACGGAGUGGAGAACUAGAGGAGUACCUUUCUUAGGCCCCUUGCCUCGCUUAAGAGUGAACGCGGCGAAGGUUGCUAAUACCACGAAUCCGAGUCUCACAAGCAUGACUCCGUGCACUCAUCACUGUCCGUUCCGGCCUCGACCGGCAGGAGGAGGGCAAGGCCAGGCAGCUCUGGCUCUGCUCAUCACAGAACAGCUGCAAAAGCAGAGCUGGGAGGAGGAAGAAGCACGUGUGAAUGGCCGUGGCCCUGGCCGGGGCUGCUAAAUGUUCCUCAUAUCUUUAGUGAGCCAACGAACACCACCGGAGGAACAUGUGGAUUGGAUUGUCUAUCUAUGUUUAUCCCUCAGGAAAGACAGGCUCGUGUAGCACAGGAAGUCUCUUUUCUCUUCUGCUGUGUGUGUCCAAUAGUGUGGGACUUGUUGGUAGCUGACAGAUUUUCCAUAUGGUGAUGGUACCAGGAGGUGGUGGCUGACAAAAAUUUCAUAUGCUGAUGAUACACGAAACUGCGGAAGGCUUGUGGCUUUGGAAGAGAGUGGUAGGCUAUUGUUUGCUGUGCACAGAAAUGGGUGGUGGCUGGUGUGCCUGGGUGAGGGUGAAGCGGGGGUUGUAGUCUGGGUGAUGGUGAUAUAUCUGGAUUAUGAUGAUGAUGAGGCUCACAGGAUGGAGCAUGGCAGUGCUAGUACCCUCUCCUGGACUCUAAUCUGGAGUGGUUUUUGUAUAUGAAGCAAUACUAGCAGGGAAUUCGCCUGUUUUUGUAUAUUGUUAAAUACUUUAUUAACUUUUUCAAAUACAAUUUUUUCAAAAUUUAAUAUGUGUUAAAU